rnacentral:lncRNA from 1 species
GUCGCACGCUGCCCGGGGUCCCGCCACACCGCCCACCAAGGCCGGGGGACCUGCGCGCCGGGGGGUGGCGGGCACGUCCCGCACCCUCUCCACCCGCCCGCCCCCGGCGCCUUUCGCAUUCCCUUCUUCGGCCUUGGCGCCUCGGACCGGAGCGCCCAGGCCAGCUCAGGGUGUUCCCGCGGGGGUCUUCGGGAACAAUGAACAUCUCAGGAUGGGGCAAUAUUUGGUGAGAACAUAUUGGAUUCUACCAAAUUACAAAUAUGUUCCAGGUUAAGCAGCUCUAAACAGUGAUGAACACUAGAGAGUUCCUUAAGCAGCGAAGUCUUUCCUUAAAUAAAUACCACUCAACUGGUUGGAGUUAGUAAUUCUGAGAGAAGUAAAGUAUAGCUGCUGAUUGUUCUAUGACAUGAAUAAGCCUUGGAGAAGAUCUGGAAAGCACUUGUGAGAGGUUGGAGAAAUUUGGAAAUACACUGACUGUCUUAGUCUGGCCAUCCUGCUAUAACCAAAUCCCAUAGACUGAGGGGCUUAUCAACAACAUACGUUUAUUGCUCACAGUUCUGGAGACUAGGAACUCCAAGAUCAAGGUGCAGGCAACUUCAAUGUCUGGUGAGGCCCUGGUUCCUGGUUCAUAGAUGGUGUCUUCUAGCUGCAUCAUCACAUGGAAGGGGCGAGGAGUCUCUUUCAGGCCUCUUUUAUAAGGGUCCUAAUCUCAUGACCUAAUUAUCUAUCGAAGGUCCCACCUCCUACUACAAUGGCUUUGGGAUAUAAGAUUUCCACAGAAUCUGGGGAGGACACAAGCAUUCUGACCAUAGUACCCAUUAUCACAUUUACCUGGGGACAUCUUAGAGCAGACAAAAAUUUUUAAAAUUCUGUUAGAGAAAAAUGCAUCAUGCUCUUGGGGAAAUUUUUGCAAUGAUACCAAAUAUUUGUCACUGAGCAUCUGUACUGAUAGCAUUUACUUUCUGUGUGCUCUUCUGCUUGCUUUUAAGGAUGGCCUUAUCACUCACUCACCACUCCCUACAACUCCAUGGAGAAGAUAUAAGCUGUCAAAAAUAUAUUUUGCUGGGCCUGGAAAAGGCAGGGGCCUUGGUUCUUCCACGGUGGCUGUUCAUCGGCACUCACACAUCCACUACACUGGUUUAGUCACACACUGGAAGGCUGCUUUCUCCUGCUACUUACAAAACAAACUAACAAAUAAACAACAACAAAAACAAAACAGAAUAAAAAAACUCAAAACUAAACCAAAAACAACAAAUGCCAAACAAUACUCAAAGAACUACCAAAUUAUUCCCUGGGCCCCUGAAUCAGAUGGAGCUGAAUCAUUUUGGCUGCUAACUGAGUGA